CAACCUAACGGCAGCUCCACCCCGAGGUGGGAUUGGUCGGGGGGGAUGUGCGGGGCGGAGGUUGGGGCUCAUUCAGUUUUUGAGUUGUUCAGCCCCGGGCUAGGGUACUUCUGCUCUCCGGAGUACCGCCGGGUCUCUAGGCCUCGGCUCCCCCGGCCAGCCAUUCCCGGAUCUGAGACUCAGUUUUUCUAAAUUCUGAAAGGGAGGGGUUUUAAGCUGUCAUUUCCCUCCCCCACCCGGGCUGUAACUGAGCCUUUCAAGAAAGCAUCUUCCAGGGCUUGUCCCCAGGUGUCUCUCCCUCUCCUACAAUUUCCAGCAAAGGAUCGGAGAACAUCGAGUCCAGACUCUUUACAGAUGAAUAAAUUGGGGUUUAGAGAUGGGAAACCCAAGGCCCCGCAGCUAAGUAGUUUCCAGUUCACCUUUAUUUUCCAUGUACUUGAACUCUAGAAGGAACUGAGCCUGUGGAGCCUGAAGAAAAGAAGUCACAAUAAUUUUGCUGAAGUGAAGGAAGGAUUAGUCAAGUUUUGUUCCGCCCCCAAGUGUCUGACCAGGAGCAAAGAGGCAAAUGUCAUGGAAAUCCUCUCAAUGACCGCUGUCUAGAGGAGGAUGACUUAAAAUAUCAAAACAUGAAACAUUUUGAAGAUCUGCUGAAUGGAUACUUUCACCUUGGAUCUUCACUAACCGAUCCCAGGUGGGCUGCAGAAUGGGACAUCGUUUUUGUUCAUCCUCCUGACUUCCAUCAUUUUUCUCCUCCAAGAUGCUGAUGCUGAGAUCGCCUGCUGAACUACUAGCAUGUGGAUCCAGGAGAUCUCAGCCUCUGAAACUCAUGAGAUUCUUGACAAAGCUAGAAACAACCACCUCAAUAUUGCUAUCCAAUCACCUGUGAUUUAGGAAAGAAACCCCAGCAGAAGAGGUAACCAGAACCUUAUCUAGAUAAAAAUAUGCACUUACUGCAAGUUUUGAUAUGUUUGACAGGAAGAGGAAGCAACAGCAGAAAUUUUCUCUUCUUGGAAUUCUACUGAGUAGCUCAUCUUCUUUAGUGAUUAAUGCUUUUUGCCCUUUUCCCUCAAACUCCAUCAUGGGGACCAAAGGCCCUAUAGGGAACCUCUGUUUGAAAAAGUUUUUUGGCACAAGGCCAGUACACAUGUUCUCAGAAAUGGGCCAAUUAUAAGGUUUAGCUCUAUGGAAAGUACUCAGGCUAGAGUGGAUCAGAGCAGGGCUCCCUUGAUUACCUCUGUUAGAGAUACAUUUUGCUUUGAUACAAAAGAAUAUAUCUACCAAACAUUCAAACAACGCUUUCUCCCCAGUACAUUUCCCUAAAAUCAUUAAACAGAACCUGUUAAGUGAUUAGACUAAUUACUAAAUUCACCUUUGCAGUUUACUGAUUGUUAACAGGAUACAUCUUUUAAUUUCAAUGUUUUACUAUCCACAGGGUCACUGUUGGGAAAAAAAAAAAAAAAGGA